GACAGAGGUGCCGAGCGUUAGGCGGAAUCACUGGGCUUAAAGCGUGUGUAGGCGGAUCGUUAAGUACCUUGUGAAAUCCCACGGCUCAACCGUGGAACUGCCUUGGAUACUGGCGGUCUUGAGGAAGGUAGGGGCAUGCGGAACUAUGGGUGGAGCGGUGAAAUGCGUUGAUAUCCAUAGGAACUCCGGUGGCGAAGGCGGGUCUCUGGGCAACAACUGACGCUGAGGAGCGAAAGCGUGGGGAGCGAACAGG
rnacentral:rRNA from 1 species